AUACGUAGGGUGCAAGCGUUAAUCGGAAUUACUGGGCGUAAAGCGUGCGCAGGCGGUUUUGUAAGACAGUGGUGAAAUCCCCGGGCUCAACCUGGGAACUGCCAUUGUGACUGCAAGGCUGGAGUGCGGCAGCGGGGGAUGGAAUUCCGCGUGUAGCAGUGAAGUGCGUAGAUAUGCGGAGGAACACCGAUGGCGAAGGCAAUCCCCUGGGCCUGCACUGACGCUCAUGCACGAAAGCGUGGGGAGCAAACAGGAUUAGACACCCUGGUAGUCCGCGCCCUAAACGAUGUCAACUGGUUGUUGGGGAUUUAUUUUCUCAGUAACGAAGCUAACGCGUGAAGUUGACCGCCUGGGGAGUACGGCCGCAAGGUUAAAACUUAAAGGAAUUGACGGGG
rnacentral:rRNA from 1 species